CUCUCUCUCUCUCUCUCUCUCUCUCUCUCUCUCUGUUUUCUUUGGAGAUUCUUAUUCGACAAGCCUUUUUUUUUUUUGUUUAAAAUGAUUCGACAAGCCUUGAUACCGUCGUCUUCGAUUUCCUCCUGCGGCGAAGUUUUCCGACGACUUUCCUACUUCUCGAGACAUCGGUGGCCAUGGGAAAAAAAAUGGUUUCUGGGUUGAUUAAUGCAAACCCAGUCGUUUAUGAGAAGAAAGAGAGGCGUGUCCGAAGUUGCCCGAGCAGUACGGAUGAACAUAUAGACCAGCUCGAGGUAUCUGAUAUCCUUCGGGUAUGAUGUUUCAACUGUUUCUUGGAAUUCUUGGUACUCUGUUUCCAUUACAGUUGUCCUCCAUUCUCCAAUUCUUGCUGGCUUCCAACAUUCAAUGCCUUUGUUUGAACAGUACACUGCAUUUAUUUUAAGGUUUUAGAUGAAGAAUACGCAUCUGUUUCGAAGCUAAGAACCUCGAUGUUUAGUGUAUCUGUGUGAAUUUCGUAUAGAUUUACAUUUUUUUUCCUUAGAGUAUGAUACAGAAGGUUGAAUCAGCUGUCAGUUUGUGGGUGUUGUAUUUGUUAUUUUUGGCCCUUAACGUUCACAAACCAUAUUAGAGAUAUUAAAGAUCCAGAGCAUCCCUAUUAUUAUCUGGAGGAGCUCAAAGUAGUAACAGAAGAUUCAGUUGAAGGAGAUGAUGGGAAGAGUUAUGUUAGGGUUACAUUCACACCAACCGUUGAACAUUGUAUCAUGGCAACUGUUAUCGGUCUUUGCCUUCGUGUCAAACUACUACAGAGGCUUCCUCCUCGUUGCAAGGUUUUAGCUUUCCCCCUCUUGUUAAGGGUAUCGGAAAACGAUUUCUCUUGCUGCUUCCAUUUGCUUUCUUUUCAUCAUCAUGAACAUUUACUCAGAUGAUUUCUGGUUUCCGGGUCUUUAACAGGUUUAUGAACAUAAUCGAAGGGAUACACAUUUAACUAGAUAAAAAAUUAUGUUGCUUCUGAUUAGUGAGGUAUAGUAACCCUUUACAGACAGUUCUUUAAUCGAUUUUGGUUUCACAUAUUUGCCGAGAUUUCAGUCUUAGGUAGAUGUUAUAACUCCAGAACUUGGGGCAAGACACACUUUGUGUUCUGUUCUGUGGCAUCACAAACUGUUACUGCGUUUUAUUUCCCAUCAUUGGUGGACAUAAGUGUUGCACCUGGUGGUCAUGCAUCUGAAUCUGCAGACAAUAAACAACUUAAUGAUAAAGAACGUGUUGCGGCUGCUUUGGAGAAUCCAAACCUUGUGGAAAUGGUUGACGAACGCUUACUUGCUUCACACGGUUGAAAGUUUUUUUUUCCCCUUCCUUUUCAAUGCAAAUGGUUACAAGAAAAAAAAGCAUCCUCUGCACCAAUCUGUAGGUGUAAAUAUGUCAGAUGUAUAAUUGAUGGGAGAGUUUUUGUUGUUCUGCCCAAAUGUUGUUCUUCUCUCUUAUAGUAAAAUUUACAAGAAGCUGGUGGCGUGUACGAGAACCCGGAAUUUUGAAUACCCGAUUCGACCGGCGAGUUGGAUAGUCAAAAUUCGGGCAUUCGUCUACCUGGUGACGGCAGACGUCUGACUUUCUGGUUUUGAAUGCGGGUUUUGGCGGUUGAGUAUCUGUACCGAGAGGGAUAGAGGCCGAGAUGAGGUGAGGCUACGAGGGGGGUGAGGGCAAGGAAGGCUUUAGACUAGUAUUGUGAUUGAAGUUUAUGAGUUUUAGGAAUUCCAUAACCGAAGAUGAUUUUCGGAUUUCGGUUUGUA